rnacentral:sRNA from 1 species
AGAGUUUAUGGAACAGCUACAGAGUUCUAGGUAUCUUCAUGCAGUUGAGGAUUCGAGCCCGUAGAGGAGAAUCGCCCGCAGCGUGGCCCCACGAGAAAGCACAUUCCAGGCACAUUCCGAGGAUGAGCGGAGACCAUGUAUGGAAAGCUGCCAUGGUGUGGACGGUCGGCAUGGCGAAGCUGGACCCCUCCUCUCAGGGUGCCCUCCAGCUCCCCUACGACCCGGAGAUGGAAGACUCCUAUGACAGUUUUGGGGAGCCUUCAUACCCCGAAGUCUUUGAGCCUCCCUUGACUGGCUACCCAGGGGAGGAGCUGGAGGAAGAGGAGGAAAGGGGCGUGAAGCUCGGCCUCGGAGACUUCAUCUUCUACAGUGUGCUGGUGGGCAAGGCGGCGGCCACGGGCAGCGGGGACUGGAAUACCACGCUGGCCUGCUUCGUGGCCAUCCUCAUUGGCUUGUGUCUGACCCUCCUGCUGCUUGCUGUGUUCAAGAAGGCGCUGCCCGCCCUCCCCAUCUCCAUCACGUUCGGGCUCAUCUUUUACUUCUCCACGGACAACCUGGUGCGGCCAUUCA